rnacentral:rRNA from 1 species
GAUGAACGCUGGCGGCGUGCCUAAUACAUGCAAGUCGAGCGAACAGACGAGGAGCUUGCUCCUCUGACGUUAGCGGCGGACGGGUGAGUAACACGUAGAUAACCUACCUAUAAGACUGGGAUAACUUCGGGAAACCGGAGCUAAUACCGGAUAAUAUAUUGAACCGCAUGGUUCAAUAGUGAAAGACGGUUUUGCUGUCACUUAUAGAUGGAUCCGCGCCGCAUUAGCUAGUUGGUAAGGUAACGGCUUACCAAGGCAACGAUGCGUAGCCGACCUGAGAGGGCGAUCGGCCACACUGGAACUGAGACACGGUCCAGACUCCUACGGGAGGCAGCAGUAGGGAAUCUUCCGCAAUGGGCGAAAGCCUGACGGAGCAACGCCGCGUGAGUGAUGAAGGUCUUCGGAUCGUAAAACUCUGUUAUUAGGGAAGAACAAAUGUGUAAGUAACUAUGCACGUCUUGACGGUACCUAAUCAGAAAGCCACGGCUAACUACGUG